GCUCGGAUGGUGGAAUGGUAGACACUGGGGACUUAAAAUCCCCUGCGUUAAUAGCGCGUGCAGGUUCGACUCCUGUUCCGAGCA
rnacentral:tRNA from 1 species